rnacentral:lncRNA from 1 species
UCUUUUUUAAUCAACAGGUAGAUGUCAUUCAGCAAAUAUAUAUCCUUUUGUUCAUUUGUUUUUUUCCCUAUAUUAAGGUGGUACCUAACACUACAGGAGAUAACUCUGUAAAAUCAGCAGAACGUUUUAAUGACGUUGUGUUCAUAAGGGAAUAUUAAGCUUCUCAAUGAUCAAAAUAAGUGUUUGUCAACUGCUAUAUAACCAGUGUAAUUUUUCUGAUUAAACGGUUGGUUCAAAUUUUUUGAAAUUUUUAUAUUUUUGUAAAAGGGUCAAAGUAAAUAAUUUAACAAAGUUUUAUGAAAAUUAAACGAGCCAAAUUAAUUUUAGUGAAAGUGUUGGGUACCACCUUAAGUCUAAUAAAUUAUUUAUAUCAUUUUUGUCUUGUAAACCUUUGUUUAAUAACUUAAACCUGUUCACUUCAUUCACUUAUUUUUGUGAAAAAGUUUAAAGCUGUUUCACAAAAUUUGUGCAUUUAUAUUUCUCUCAGUAUUGGGGAUCAGGUUUGUAUUUUUUUUUUUAUGUUGUCAGUGAUUUUGUUUUUAAUUAACCAGAUGGCAAAGUUGUAAUGUAAGAAACAAAUUUAUCAAAACUUCUUAAAUAGAAAUUUGUGAAAAACAUAAUGGAAAGAAUCCAUACCUUCCAACUAAAUGUUAUUAAUGUAAGUCUUCAUUAGAUAUUUUUCUUCUCUCCACAGUUGUCACAUAUAAAAAUUGUACCAGUGUCAAAAAGGUCAGAGAAAAAUAAUCAAAAACAUGAAUCAAAGAGGAUGCUACUCUUGUUCCACAAGUGGCAAUCUUGUGUUACUCUUGUUAAAUUCUGCUAGUAAUACAAUGAAGUUGGUGAUAAAAGAAGAUUGGUUGACGUCUAACCUAAAGAAACUACUAAAUUUAAAACACAAAACAAUCUUAACAAGAAAAUUUGAAAUUAAACAUAAGACAAAGGACAGACAAGACCAUGGCCAUUAGAAACACUGAAAAUCAAAAUGAUCACUUAUUCAUAACCCAAAAUAUAUCUGGAUUGAGUGACUUGUGCAAAAGCAGGGAGAUAAGAGAAUUUUAACCAAUGAAGAAGCACAAGUUAAGACAAAACCACAUGUUGAUUAUGUUUACAAAGGUUUGAGAAAGAAUAAAUCAACUAAGAACUAGAGUAAGGUGCCUUCAAUGUAAUUUUCAUUGUAUAAAAGAACAUCUAUAAAAUAUAUACAUCACUCAUUUAAUAAUUCAAGUCAGGAGUUGUCAAUGCACAGCUACUGUUAAAUAUUUUUUCCCACUUUCAAUAGACUAUUUUCAUAUUACCAACUUUUAACUCAGACUUUAUAAUUUUUCAAUAGGUACCCCGGUAACUAUUUCUGUGGUAAGACCUCCUGGUACUUGGUCAAGUAAGGGCCACCAAUAAAGUAAAAUUAAACAUAUAAUGGGUGAAAUUGAGGGAAAAGUUUACUGUUUUCAGUUGAGUUUGUUGUGCAAAGAAAAUAUAAAGCAAUUCACCCAAACAUUUGUAUAGAUUGAAAGCUUGAUUAUACAUGUACUUCUUUAAGUUGCAUUUACUGAACUUGGUACCAGGACGACCUACCACAGAGUAGAGUAGGUAUAGCCUGUCAAAAAAUAUCAAUUGGAGUCAAAAGUCAGUAUUAUAAAAAAAAAAGUCAACAAAUAUCAACCUAGAAAAUUAUUAUGUUAAGUUUAUAGAUC